rnacentral:lncRNA from 1 species
AUCCAGAGCUUUGAUGAGGGCAGUAUUUCUGGGAGCUACAUGGGAGCAUCCGACACCACAGCAGUGUGUGUGAUGAGGACUAACAGCUGCCAGUCUGACAGCAGCGGCUUCCUGGAAGAGCCCUUCAUCCCUUCCAUUACCCAGCAUCCCUCACCUGGACCCGAGCUCAUGAAGGUUACACGGAUAACAUUCUAGAAGUGCAACAAUCUAGGCGUGUUACUUUAAGUUAUUGCUACUAACUUAUAUACUUCACCAGCCCAAAUUAUUAAAAUAUAUUAUUGAAUUGAUAUUCUGUCUAUUUCAUGGUGCACAAUUUAAGAGGUCAUUCAUUAAUUUAAACUGACAGUGUUUGGUUGUUGUUUAAAGGCUUUGUCGGGAAUAUCUGGAGGCAGCACUGACAGCCAGAUCACUGUAAAAGGAGCUUCACCCCCCUCGUCCCCCCCAUCCACUUCCCUGGACCCUUCCCCUCCUUCCCUCUCCAUGUGCCACCCAAGACCCGAGUCUCCUCUAUACAGACCAGAGACAACAAGCCCUACAGAGGAGACACCCAGACACCAGGAUUCCCCCACACCCCACUCCCUCCUCUCUGAUGCCUUGGAGAUGACUAACUCUGCUUUUGGAGCCAGGCCAAGCCUAAUGGAAAACACUGUCACUGAGGAAGAUGGAUUCUCUUCGGCCUGCGGUUCACCUUGUCAUAAGCCAGACUCUCCGUUACGGCACGUUAUUAUUAUCAUGAAAACAGAUAGAGAAACAGAACACUUUACUGUGGAAUCAGAGGAAGCUGUUCCAAUAGGAGGAGAGGAAAAGGACAUAGCGGAACAAAGUGGCAAUGUUCAGACAGGAACAGAGGCUGUUGGUGAUCAGGACACCGAUUGUUAUGGGUCACAUGAAGGCUCUCGGAUGAACUCGGUAGCUCUAGUGCAGAUGAAGAAAGAGACGGAGAUGAAGACGAAAGUACAGAUUAGUUCUGGUUUGGAAGGUCCAGUGUUGGGUCCUGUUGCUGUUCCUGAGGUGGUGAAUCAAGGCUCUGAGACUGGAUUUGUUUGUCAGGACCGGUACUCUGAAGAUCCUCUAUUAGGAUCUGACCCUAACUUCUCAGCAGUGCUAAGCCCUGCCUCCUCUCUCCCCCCAGCAGAGCCUCUCCCUGCCUCCUCUCUCCCCCCAGCAGAGCCUCUCUCUGCCUCCCCACCCCCAGUGCACUGGGAAACAGGUGGCUCAAAGAUUUCAGAGGGAUCCUCAAGCUUGGUUGUCCAAGAGCCUGUCCCACCACUAUAUCAACCAGCAGACCCAUCAACAGACCCACCUCCAGGCCCAGCUUUAACCUCACCUUCAGAGCAAGUGUCAUCUCCAUCCCCACCACCAUCUCUAUCCCCAGCCUCAUGGCCACACCAACCUCCAGCCUCAGCUUUUCCGGCAGCAUCCAGCUCAUCUCCAACCCAAGCCCAUUCCCCAAUCCCAAACCAUUCUCUAUCAGCCCUAACCACAACACCAACCCCAUCCUCAAUUCCAAACUCACCAUCAGCCCAUUCCUUAACCGUAGCUCCAUCUCAAGCCCCAACUCCACUCGUCCCCCACAGUGGUGCUUUCAGGUCAGGCCGGUCUGUGUCUGUCCAGAUGCCCUCCUCCCUGCCCUCUGUCUCCCACUCUGCCCUCCGGAGAGGUGGCGUCCCCCACACCCCCUCCCCGCUCGGCCCUUCCUUCGAGCCCCGCCCCCUGACUGACCUGGUGCUUCGGCAGAGGCGGAACUCCUUCUCCAGGAAGGCGUGGUCAGAUGCUGAUGUCUCCCACUUUGCAGAACACAGAAACACUGCGGUUGCCAUGGGAAAAGCAGUCAUGACACCUGAGAUGAUAUCCCUCCCGUCCCCCGUCCCCUCCCCCUCCCUGUCAUCGUCCAAUCGGUGGCUGUCUCGCGACGGUUCACGAAGAUCCGGAAGUUUCCAGAUGAAGUCCACCUCCUUGGACACGGGGCUGUGGCAGGAGGAUGAAGAAGUGGGGGAUGAGGAUAGACGGUGGGAACGAGCACUGUUCUCUGGGCUUUCCUGCUGCUGCUCCUGUGAUAACCGCUGUAGCUGCUGUUCUCAGAACAAUCACCUCAAACCAUUCUCCGUUUCAGCUUUCCCUUAUUCCCUGGAUGAGCUGGAGGGGAUGAUGCACUGUAUGAGGAAGUUCCGCUGCGUCCUGACAGACAUCGAGGAACAGCUGUCAGAAGACCAGGCCUCGGUGUACAGCUCACUCUCUGACACUGACAGAGAGGAAGUGCGAGACAUCUUGGAGCUGAGGAAAGCUGUGAAACAGGAAGCAGGAGAGUUGGAACUGCAGCUCACUGACCUGGUUCAUCGCUAUGACGACAGCUUCAAAAUGGUAGGUUACACAGACACACCCUUGACUGUGGAUUAUAUUAAUGAGAAAUGAAAACAUUAGCUAUGUUUUUCUACUUUGCCUCA